AGACUUCUACACCUUGAGAAACUAGCUUUUUUUGGAAAGAUUCACUAGUUUUGCAUCUGAACAUUUAGAGAAAUGGAAAGAAAACCACAGACAAAAGUUACUGCUAACUUUAACAGUCACCAGCUAUACCCAGCUAAGCCAGAGUGUAUCCAAUCUGUAAAGCAAUCUAAAAAAACAAUUUUUCCAGCUAACCGUCUUGAACCAAAAGAAAAGGAAGUCUUCUUUCUUAAACUAGCUCUUUCAAAAAUGAAAGAAGACCAUAGAAAACAGUUGGAAGAAGAGCGAAAAAACAUGGUUAUCAGGGAAAAUGAAACCAACCGCAUCCUUCAAAACCCAAAUGAUGAAUUAAAACAGAAGAAACGUCUCAUAAAAGAACAUCUAGAGACUAUUUCAGAAAUGGGGGCUGCUCUCGAAAAGGUGGAGAAAGCUCACUACCAUAAUGAAAGCACAUUCCAACAAAAGCUGAUACAACUACAGACCGACCGGGAUGAAGUGGAGAAAAAACUUCACACCAAAAAUCUGGAAAUGGAAGAAGAGCAUAGAAACCAGUUGGAAGAAGAGCGAAAAAACAUGGUUAUCAGGGAAAAGGGAACCAACCGCAUCCUUCAAGCCCUAAAUUAUGAAUUAAAACAGAAGGAUCGCAUCAUAGAUGAAAAUCUAGAGACUAUUUCAGAAAUGGAGGUCACUCUCAAAAAGAUGGAGAAUAACUUAAAAAGCAAGAUGGACCAAUGCAACCAACUGGUGGAGGAGAAGGAGGAAAUAAAGGAAGCUCACUUCCAUAGUGAGAGCACGUUCCAAAAAAAGCUAAUACAACUACAAACUGACCUGGAGGAAGCAAAAAAAAAAUUUCACGCCAAAACUCUAGAAAUGGAAGAAGAGCAUAGAAACCAGUUGGAAGAAGAGCGAAAAAACAUGGUUAUCAAGGAAAAGGAAACCAACCGCAUCCUUCAAGACCUAAAUGAUGAAUCAAAACAAAAAGAUCGUAUCAUAGAUGAACAUCUAGAGACUAUUUCAGAAAUGGAGGUCGCUCUCAAAAAGAUGGAGAAUAACUUAAAAAGCAAGAUGGAUCAAUGCAACCAACUGGUGGAGGAGAAGGAGGAAAUAAAGGAAGCUCACUUCCAUAGUGAGAGCACGUUCCAAAAAAAGCUAAUACAACUACAAACUGACCUGGAGGAAGCAAAAAAAAAAUUUCACGCCAAAACUCUAGAAAUGGAAGAAGAGCAU
rnacentral:lncRNA from 1 species